CUAAUGUCGGUGCCAGAUUUAUAUVAAGAAGAAAAAUGACAAAUGUGGAAUUUCUUUUGUUAAGGUAGCGAUAUAUAAGAAGACUGAUCACUGAAAAUUCCGUUUUUACCCAUAGAAAGAAAAAUCAGCACUAGCAAGUUCCCAAAUAGCUAUGAAUUGUUCGAGCAAGGUUUUUCUUGUUAUUGUACUUUUCUUGAUGCUCCAGUUUCAUUCAAGCMUUUCAAGGACGGCUAAAGAUAAACAUCAGAAARUGAAGCCAAAAGUCAAAGAUCCAUUCAUUCCGCGACCAAGAAUAACGGAAAUCAAGUGCUCCACAGAUAAGGACUGUAAACGAAAAUUGGAUGGUUACGUUUUCUGCAGAUAUCACUAUUGUUGGGAUGUUCCAUAUUAACAAUGCAUUACUAUAAUUAUUAUGCUAAGUUGUAUCGAAAAACCAUGGCAAAUAUUGUAAAUU